rnacentral:misc_RNA from 1 species
UUGGUUUGUUUCAUUUACUUAGACAGGUAUUCAAUCGAAAUCAAAUCACUGCUUUGUCGUAAGUUCCACGAUCAAUUAGGGUUUUAUUCCCAAGCGGUUUAAAGGCUUGUGGGAUAAGUUGUAAAUUGGAAUUAUCCUUUUGAUUUCAGAAGAAACCAAAAAGAAAGAAUUACAAUCGGUACGCGGGACAAAAAGUAGCCAAGUGGUUUAGACUCGGCUUCUUUUUAUGUUUUGAGGGUGUGGUAAUGAUCCUUCCGCAGGUUCACCUACGGAAA